rnacentral:rRNA from 1 species
UACGGAGGGUGCAAGCGUUAUCCGGAUUCACUGGGUUUAAAGGGUGCGUAGGCGGGCAGGUAAGUCAGUGGUGAAAUCUUUGGGCUUAACCCGAAAACUGCCAUUGAUACUAUCUGUCUUGAAUAUUUGUGGAGGUUUGCGGAAUAUGUCAUGUAGCGGUGAAAUGCUUAGAUAUGACAUAGAACACCUAUUGCGAAGGCAGCAAACUACGCAUAUAUUUGACGCUGAGGCACGAAAAGCGUGGGGGAUCAAAACAGGG